ACUCAAAUGAAUUGACGGGGACCCGCACAAGCGGUGGAUGAUGUGGUUUAAUUCGAUGCAACGCGAAAAACCUUACCUACCCUUGACAUGUCAAGAAUUUUGCAGAGAUGUGAAAGUGCUCGAAAGAGAGCUUGAACACAGGUGCUGCAUGGCCGUCGUCAGCUCGUGUCGUGAGAUGUUGGGUUAAGUCCCGCAACGAGCGCAACCCUUGUCAUCAGUUGCUACCGCAAGGAGCACUCUGAUGAGACUGCCGGUGACAAACCGGAGGAAGGUGGGGAUGACGUCAGGUCCUCAUGGCCCUUAUGGGUAGGGCUACACACGUCAUACAAUGGCCGGUACAGAGGGCUGCCAACCCGCGAGGGGGAGCUAAUCCCAGAAAACCGGUCGUAGUCCGGAUCGCAGUCUGCAACUCGACUGCGUGAAGUCGGAAUCGCUAGUAAUCGCGGAUCAGCAUGUCGCGGUGAAUACGUUCCCGGGUCUUGUACACACCGCCCGU
rnacentral:rRNA from 1 species